rnacentral:rRNA from 1 species
AUUGAACGCUGGCGGCAUGCCUUACACAUGCAAGUCGAACGGUAACAGGUUAAGCUGACGAGUGGCGAACGGGUGAGUAAUGUAUCGGAACGUGCCCAGUCGUGGGGGAUAACUGCUCGAAAGAGCAGCUAAUACCGCAUACGACCUGAGGGUGAAAGCGGGGGAUCGCAAGCCCUUGCGCGAUUGGAGCGGCCGAUAUCAGAUUAGGUAGUUGGUGAGGUAAAGGCUCACCAAGCCGACGAUCUGUAGCUGGUCUGAGAGGACGACCAGCCACACUGGGACUGAGACACGGCCCAGACUCCUACGGGAGGCAGCAGUGGGGAAUUUUGGACAAUGGGCGCAAGCCUGAUCCAGCCAUGCCGCGUGCGGGAAGAAGGCCUUCGGGUUGUAAACCGCUUUUGUCAGGGAAGAAAAGGUUCUGGCUAAUACCUGGGACUCAUGACGGUACCUGAAGAAUAAGCACCGGCUAACUACGUG